rnacentral:misc_RNA from 1 species
AAGUCGUAACAAGGUUUCCGUAGGUGAACCUGCGGAAGGAUCAUUAUUGAAUAAACUUGAACAGGCUGUUGCUGGCUCGAGAGAGUAUGUGCACGUCUGUCAUCUUUAUCUCUCCACUGUGCACAUAUUGUAGAACCCUGGAGUUUGUGAUUGUUCAAAUCGAUAGAGGGACUGCUGUGCUUUUUUAAAAAAAAAGUCAGCUUUUCCUCAUAUUCCUAGGGGUCUAUGUUUAUUUUAACAACCCAUGAAAUGUGUUUAGAAUGUUGAAUAAAAAGUUUUAUAAUAUAUACAACUUUCAGCAACGGAUCUCUUGGCUCUC